rnacentral:rRNA from 1 species
CAGUCGAGCGGACAGAUGGGAGCUUGCUCCCUGAUGUUAGCGGCGGACGGGUGAGUAACACGUGGGUAACCUGCCUGUAAGACUGGGAUAACUCCGGGAAACCGGGGCUAAUACCGGAUGGUUGUUUGAACCGCAUGGUUCAAACAUAAAAGGUGGCUUCGGCUACCACUUACAGAUGGACCCGCGGCGCAUUAGCUAGUUGGUGAGGUAACGGCUCACCAAGGCAACGAUGCGUAGCCGACCUGAGAGGGUGAUCGGCCACACUGGGACUGAGACACGGCCCAGACUCCUACGGGAGGCAGCAGUAGGGAAUCUUCCGCAAUGGACGAAAGUCUGACGGAGCAACGCCGCGUGAGUGAUGAAGGUUUUCGGAUCGUAAAGCUCUGUUGUUAGGGAAGAACAAGUACCGUUCGAAUAGGGCGGUACCUUGACGGUACCUAACCAGAAAGCCACGGCUAACUACGUGCCAGCAGCCGCGGUAAUACGUAGGUGGCAAGCGUUGUCCGGAAUUAUUGGGCGUAAAGGGCUCGCAGGCGGUUUCUUAAGUCUGAUGUGAAAGCCCCCGGCUCAACCGGGGAGGGUCAUUGGAAACUGGGGAACUUGAGUGCAGAAGAGGAGAGUGGAAUUCCACGUGUAGCGGUGAAAUGCGUAGAGAUGUGGAGGAACACCAGUGGCGAAGGCGACUCUCUGGUCUGUAACUGACGCUGAGGAGCGAAAGCGUGGGGAGCGAACAGGAUUAGAUACCCUGGUAGUCCACGCCGUAAACGAUGAGUGCUAAGUGUUAGGGGGUUUCCGCCCCUUAGUGCUGCAGCUAACGCAUUAAGCACUCCGCCUGGGGAGUACGGUCGCAAGACUGAACUCAAAGGAGUUGACGGGGGCCCGCACAAGCGGUGGAGCAUGU